UACGUAGGGUGCGAGCGUUAAUCGGAAUUACUGGGCGUAAAGCGUGCGCAGGCGGUUCGUUAAGUCAGAUGUGAAAGCCCCGGGCUCAACCUGGGAACUGCAUUUGAAACUGGCGGGCUUGAGUGUGGCAGAGGGGGGUGGAAUUCCGCGUGUAGCAGUGAAAUGCGUAGAGAUGCGGAGGAACACCGAUGGCGAAGGCAGCCCCCCUGGGCCAACACUGACGCUCAGGCACGAAAGCGUGGGGAGCAAACAUG
rnacentral:rRNA from 1 species